rnacentral:rRNA from 1 species
CAGGACGAACGCUGGCGGCGUGCUUAACACAUGCAAGUCGAGCGAUGAAGCUCCUUCGGGAGUGGAUUAGCGGCGGACGGGUGAGUAACACGUGGGUAACCUGCCUCAUAGAGGGGAAUAGCCUUUCGAAAGGAAGAUUAAUACCGCAUAUGGUAGCUUUAUCGCAUGGUAAUGCUAUUAAAGGAGUAAUCCGCUAUGAGAUGGACCCGCGUCGCAUUAGCUAGUUGGUGAGGUAACGGCUCACCAAGGCGACGAUGCGUAGCCGACCUGAGAGGGUGAUCGGCCACAUUGGGACUGAGACACGGCCCAGACUCCUACGGGAGGCAGCAGUGGGGAAUAUUGCACAAUGGGGGAAACCCUGAUGCAGCAACGCCGCGUGAGUGAUGACGGCCUUCGGGUUGUAAAACUCUGUCUUUGGGGACGAUAAUGACGGUACCCAAGGAGGAAGCCACGGCUAACUACGUGCCAGCCGCAGC